UACGUAGGGGGCUAGCGUUGUCCGGAAUCAUUGGGCGUAAAGCGCGUGUAGGCGGUCCGGUAAGUCCGCUGUGAAAGUCGAGGGCUCAACCCUCGAAUGCCGGUGGAUACUGUCGGGCUUGAGUACGGGAGAGGCGAGUGGAAUUCCUGGUGUAGCGGUGAAAUGCGCAGAUAUCAGGAGGAACACCGAUGGCGAAGGCAGCUUCUGGCCUAAGACUGACGCUGAGGUGCGAAAGGCGUGGGGAGCGAACGGG
rnacentral:rRNA from 1 species